UAUUAGGUUGGUGCAAAAUAUUAGGUUUUGCCAUUACUUUAAUAGCAAAAACUGUAAUUACUUUUGUACCAACCUAAUA
rnacentral:miRNA from 1 species